rnacentral:rRNA from 1 species
ACUCCUACGGGAGGCAGCAGUGGGGAAUAUUGCACAAUGGGCGCAAGCCUGAUGCAGCGACGCCGCGUGAGGGAUGACGGCCUUCGGGUUGUAAACCUCUUUCAGUAGGGACGAAGCGCAAGUGACGGUACCUAUAGAAGAAGGACCGGCCAACUACGUGCCAGCAGCCGCGGUAAUACGUAGGGUCCGAGCGUUGUCCGGAAUUACUGGGCGUAAAGAGCUCGUAGGUGGUUUGUCGCGUUGUUCGUGAAAACUCACAGCUCAACUGUGGGCGUGCGGGCGAUACGGGCAGACUAGAGUACUGCAGGGGAGACUGGAAUUCCUGGUGUAGCGGUGGAAUGCGCAGAUAUCAGGAGGAACACCGGUGGCGAAGGCGGGUCUCUGGGCAGUAACUGACGCUGAGGAGCGAAAGCGUGGGGAGCGAACAGGAUUAGAUACCCUGGUAGUCCACGCCGUAAACGGUGGGUACUAGGUGUGGGUUUCCUUCCUUGGGAUCCGUGCCGUAGCUAACGCAUUAAGUACCCCGCCUGGGGAGUACGGCCGCAAGGCUAAAACUCAAAGAAAUUGACGGGGGCCCGCACAAGCGGCGGAGCAUGUGGAUUAAUUCGAUGCAACGCGAAGAACCUUACCUGGGUUUGACAUGCACAGGACGUGCCUAGAGAUAGGUAUUCCUUGUGGUCUGUGUGCAGGUGGUGCAUGGCUGUCGUCAGCUCGUGUCGUGAGAUGUUGGGUUAAGUCCCGCAACGAGCGCAACCCUUGUCUCAUGUUGCCAGCACGUAAUGGUGGGGACUCGUGAGAGACUGCCGGGGUCAACUCGGA